rnacentral:rRNA from 1 species
CCCUUAGAUGUUCUGGGCCGCACGCGUGCUACACUGAGUGGAUCAGCGGGUCAGGUUGCGCGAAAGUGUUUCCUAAUCUUGAAAUCCGCUCGUGAUGGGGAUUGACGGUUGCAAUUUUCCGUCAUGAACGGGGAAUACCUUGUAAGCGCGGGUCAUCAUCCCGCGCUGAAUACGUCCCUGCCCUUUGUACACACCGCCCGUCGCUCCUACCGAUUGAGUGGUCCGGUGAGGCUUUGGGAUCUGAGCAAAAAGAGCGUUUCGCUCGUUUGGCUCGGAAAACUCAGUCGAACCUUAUCAUUUAGAGGAAGGAGAAGUCGUAACA